GAUGAACGCUGGCGGCGUGCCUAAUACAUGCAAGUCGAACGAAACUUCUUUAUCACCGAGUGCGGGCAAUCACCGAUAAAGAUAUGAGUGGCGAAGGGGUGAGUAACAGGUGGGCAACCUGCCCAAAAGAGGAGAAUAACACGUGGAAACAGGUGCUACUACCGAAUAACAAUAGUUACCGCAUGGUAACUAUGUAAACGGUGGCGGUACUACCGCGUUUGGAUGUGCACGCGGCGCAUGAGCUAGUUGGGAGGGUAAAGGAUUACCAAGGCAAGGAUGCUUACCCGACUUCAGAGCUUGAUUCCCCACCUUGCGUCUGAGACUCGGCCCCCACUCCUACGGGAGGCCGCAGUCGGGACUCUUCCACAAUGCGCGAAUGCCUGAUAGUGCAACGCCGCGUGGAUCAAGAAGGUCCUCCGCUCCUUAAACCCUGUUGUUAGACAAGAAAUUGCGUGAUAGCAACUGUUCACGUUUCGACGGUACCUAACCAGAAAGCCCCGGCUAACUACGUG
rnacentral:rRNA from 1 species